UCCCGCGAGCCUCCCGUCUAGAUGUCUGUCAAGGUCGCCAUAAAGCAACCUAGUCCAUAUGGCGAUAGAAUAAAACGAAGACGCUCAUGUAUAGAUUAUCCGCCGGGGUGAAGAUGGAGUGAAAAGCAUGUGAGAGAGAAGUCGAAAAGAGACGUACAGGCGUAGGGAGCUAAGGGUGUAGAAUAAAAAAUUAGAUUUCUCGGCUUUGUGGAGCCGGUGGACUAGGCACUGCGGCGACUGUCGAGCUUCAAAACAGCCUUGGAAGUAGUGGAAAAAGGCAAAGUGAAGGAAUAUCAGAGUGAACCUGGCAAGUGAGCACACAAUCAAGAAACAUCUGCUGGAAAACUCAGUCUCUAAAACAAAAGUAUUUUUAUAUAUUUAAAAGAAAAUAUUAAAAACAUAAUAUGCUUUUCA